GGAAGUUCUGUAGUUUAGUGGUAGAGCAUAUGUUCUGCACAUAGAAUGUCCUGGGUUCAACUCCCAGCAUCUCCA